UUAAAGAUAAUGAUUGAGUAGAGUAUCCCAUGGACCGGCCUUACAAGAGAGGAGCUGCCGCCGGCUGAGAGCAGUUCUAAGGUGACGUAUGGGAGAAGUGCACUCAUGAAUCGGAAAGCCGAACGCUGCGGGUGAUAUUUAAAAUGUUGGCAGUUUGGCCGCUGGCAAGUAGGUUUUCCCGGUUAAAGCGCCGUUAUGCAAAUGAGAUGGAAUUAUUCCAAAUCAUUGAUGCGGAAUAAAAUGGUGCGGAAUAAUUUCAAAAUAGAGUGGAACCGCGAUUUUACCCCGCCUCUAUG
rnacentral:ncRNA from 1 species